rnacentral:rRNA from 1 species
GACGAACGCUGGCGGCGUGCUUAACACAUGCAAGUCGAACGGAAAGGCCCUGCUUUUGUGGGGUGCUCGAGUGGCGAACGGGUGAGUAACACGUGAGUAACCUGCCCUUGACUUUGGGAUAACUUCAGGAAACUGGGGCUAAUACCGGAUAGGAGCUCCUGCUGCAUGGUGGGGGUUGGAAAGUUUCGGCGGUUGGGGAUGGACUCGCGGCUUAUCAGCUUGUUGGUGGGGUAGUGGCUUACCAAGGCUUUGACGGGUAGCCGGCCUGAGAGGGUGACCGGCCACAUGGGGCCUGAGAUCCGGCCCGAACUCCUACGGGAGGAAGCGGUGGGGAAUAUUGCACAAUGGGCGGAAGCCUGAUGCAGCACCGCCGCGUGCGGGAUGACGGCCUUCGGGUUGUAAACCGCUUUCGCCUGUGACGAAGCGUGAGUGACGGAAAUGGGUAAAGAAGCACCGGCAAACUACGU